UACGUAGGGGUGCAAGCGUUUGUCCGGGAAUUAUUGGGCGUAAAGAGCUCGUAGGCGGUUUGUCGCGUCUGCUGUGAAAUCCAGGGCUUAACCCUGGACCUGCAGUGGGUACGGGCAGACUGGAGUGCGGUAGGGGGAAUCGGAAUUCCUGGUGUAGCGGGUGAAAUGCGCAGAUAUCAGGAGGAACACCGGUGGCGAAGGCGGAUCUCUGGGCCGUAACUGACGCUGAGGAGCGAAAGGCAUGGG
rnacentral:rRNA from 1 species